rnacentral:snRNA from 12 species
UUACUGACCUGGCAGGGGAGAUCCCCUGCUUCUCAGUCUUGAAUGACUUGGUGUAAUUAGUGGGUGGAGAACUGUCCACUAGCAGGCCCCUACCGAUUGGAAGAUUUUGGCUACACAAUUUAUGGUGAUGAGGGAUUGCUCUUGAGCUUUCCCUCU